GUUUUAUUUAAUUUAAAUUUAUAGUUCUAAAAAAAUAAUGAAUACAUAAAAUGAUGCCAAAGGGACUAGGGUCUUAAUAUCUUUCAACAUAACCUUCGUUCUGGUGCAAUAGUGCAAUAUUGUAAGUGACCCUCCGAUUGUAAUUUUAAAAUAACUGGGUUCCUAAAUAAUCGUUUUCUGGAAAUUAUACUAACACUGGUUAGUUAUCAGAAAGCUAUUUUUUGUUUUGAGUAUGCUUUCUGUACCAAUUGUAUUUCCUGCUUUAAUUUGAAUUUUAAGAUUGACUGUAAGGAC